rnacentral:tRNA from 1 species
GGAGAGGUCGCCUAGUUUGGCCGAGGGCGCAUGAUUGGAAAUCAUGUAUACCGCAAGGUAUCGAGGGUUCGAAUCCCUCCCUCUCCGCCA